rnacentral:rRNA from 1 species
AUUUCCUUCGGGACUGAUUAUUUUGUGACUGAGUGGCGGACGGGUGAGUAACGCGUGGGUAACCUGCCUUGUACAGGGGGAUAACAGUUGGAAACGGCUGCUAAUACCGCAUAAGCGCACAGAGCUGCAUGGCUCCGUGUGAAAAACUCCGGUGGUAUGGGAUGGGCCCGCGUCUGAUUAGGCAGUUGGUGAGGUAACGGCCCACCAAGGCGACGAUCCAUAGCCGACCGGAGAGGGUGACCGGCCACAUUGGGACUGAGACACGGCCCAAACUCC